CCUGAUAGAUUAGUUGGUAAAGAAUCUGCUUGCAAUGCAGGAGACCCUGGUUCAAUUCCUGGGUCAGGA
rnacentral:tRNA from 1 species